UUCCGGUUGAUCCUGCCGGAGGCCAUUGCUAUCGGUGUCCGAUUUAGCCAUGCAAGUUGUACGUCUAACGUAGCGAACGGCUCAGUAACACGUGGCCAAGCUACCCUGUGGACCGCCAUAACCUCGGGAAACUGAGGCUAAUAGCGGAUAUCGCUCCCACGCUGGAAUGCCGGGAGCGUGAAAUGCUCCGGCGCCACAGGAUGCGGCUGCGGCCGAUUAGGUAGACGGUGGGGUAACGGCCCACCGUGCCGAUAAUCGGUACGGGUUGUGAGAGCAAGAGCCCGGAGACGGACUCUGAGACAAGAGUCCGGGCCCUACGGGGCGCAGCAGGCGCGAAACCUUUACACUGCACGCCAGUGCGAUAGGGGGACACCGAGUGCGAGGGCAUAGAGCCCUCGCUUUUGUGUACCGUAAGGUGGUACACGAAUAAGGGCUGGGCAAGACCGGUGCCAGCCGCCGCGGUAACACCGGCAGCCCAAGUGAUGGCCGCUAUUAUUGGGCCUAAAGCGUCCGUAGCCGGCCGUUCAGGUCCGUCGGGAAAUCCACUGGCUCAACCAGUGGGCGUCCGGCGGAAACCGUUCGGCUUGGGACCGGGAGGCCAGAGGGGUACGUCCGGGGUAGGAGUGAAAUCCCGUAAUCCUGGACGGACCAUCGGUGGCGAAAGCGCCUCUGGAGAACGGAUCCGACGGUGAGGGACGAAAGCUAGGGUCUCGAACCGGAUUAGAUACCCGGGUAGUCCUAGCCGUAAACGAUGCUCGCUAGGUGUGGCGCAGGCUACGAGCCUGCGCUGUGCCGUAGGGAAGCCGUGAAGCGAGCCGCCUGGGAAGUACGUCCGCAAGGAUGAAACUUAAAGGAAUUGGCGGGGGAGCACUACAACCGGAGGAGCCUGCGGUUUAAUUGGAUUCAACGCCGGG
rnacentral:rRNA from 1 species